rnacentral:rRNA from 1 species
CGGUAAUUCCAGCUCCAAUAGCGUAUACUAAAGUUGUUGCAGUUAAAAAGCUCGUAGUUGGAUUUCUGCGGGGACGGAGCGGCCGGACGCAACUUGCGUCUCGAGCUAGCGCUUUCCCCGCAUCCUGCCGCGAACCGUGCUACCAUUAGUUUGGUGGCGCUGGGGAUCGGCUCGAUUACUUUGAGAAAAAUAGAGUGUUCAAAGCAGGCCACACGCCUUGAAUAAGUUAGCAUGGAAUAAUGACUAAGGACUUUGGUUCUUUUCGUUGGUGUUCGGGACUGAAGUAAUGAUUGAUAGGGACAGUUGGGGCGGUCCGUAUUCCAAAGCGAGAGGUGAAAUUCUUAGACCUUCGGAAGACGAACAGCUGCGAAAGCGUUCCGCAAGGAUGUUCCCUUUGAUCAAGAACGAAAGUUGGGGGAUCGAAGACGAUCAGAUACCGUCGUAGUCUCAACUAUAAACUAUACCAGCUAGGGAUCGGCCAACGUUUAACUUUAUCGACUUGGUCGGCACCUUAUGAGAAAUCAAAGCAUCUGGGUUCCGGGGGGAGUAUGGUCGCAAGGCUGAAACUUAAAGGAAUUGACGGAAGGGCACCACCAGCCGUGGAGCCUGUGGCUUAAUUUGACUCAACACGGGAAAACUUACCAGGUCCAGACAUAGGAAGGAUUGACAGAUUGAUAGCUCUUUCUUGAUUCUGUGGGUGGUGGUGCAUGGCCGUUUUUAGUCGGUGGAUGUGAUCUGUCUGCUUAAUUGCGUUAACGGACGAGACCCCAGCCUGCUAAAUAGCGCGGCCGAGCUUUGCUCGGUGCGAGCUUCUUAGAGGGACCAUGAUGCGCGAUAGCACAAGGAAGUUUGGGGCAACAACAGGUCUGUGAUGCCCUUAGAUGUUCUGGGCCGCACACGGGCUACACUGGCGCCUGCAACGAGCAUAUCAGCUGGCCCGAGAGGGUCUUGGCUAAUCUUUGGAACCGGCGCCGUGCUUGGGAUUGACCAUUGCAAUUGUUGGUCAUGCAACGAGGAAUGCCUUGUAAACGCGAGUCAUCAGCUCGCAUUGAAUACGUCCCUGCCCUUUGUACACACCGCCCGUCGCUCCUACCGAUGAAUGUUCCGAUGAAAUUUUCGGAGAGCACCAGAGAACGGGGCUCUGCCUUGCAGAACUGGAGGCUCAAAGUCACUUAAAUCUGAACAUUUCGAGGAAGGAGAAGUCGUAACAAGGUAGCCG